UACGAAGGGGGCUAGCGUUGUUCGGAAUUACUGGGCGUAAAGCGCGUGUAGGCGGGUCUUUAAGUCAGGGGUGAAAUGCCAAGGCUCAACCUUGGAACUGCCUUUGAUACUGGAGAUCUUGAGUCCGGGAGAGGUGAGUGGAACUGCGAGUGUAGAGGUGAAAUUCGUAGAUAUUCGCAAGAACACCAGUGGCGAAGGCGGCCGACUGGUCCGGUUCUGACGCUGAGGCGCGAAAGCGUGGGGAGCAAACAGG
rnacentral:rRNA from 1 species